rnacentral:rRNA from 1 species
ACGUAGGGUGCGAGCGUUAAUCGGAAUUACUGGGCGUAAAGCGAGCGCAGACGGUUAUUUAAGCAAGAUGUGAAAGCCCCGGGCUCAACCUGGGAACUGCGUUUUGAACUGGGUAACUAGAGUGUGUCAGAGGGGGGUAGAAUUCCACGUGUAGCAGUGAAAUGCGUAGAGAUGUGGAGGAAUACCGAUGGCGAAGGCAGCCCCCUGGGAUAACACUGACGUUCAUGCUCGAAAGCGUGGGUAGCAAACAG